GACGGAGGGUGCAAGCGUUGUUCGGAAUCACUGGGCGUAAGGCGCGUGUAGGCGGUUUGAUAAGUCGAAUGUGAAAGCCCGAGGCUCAACCUCGGAAGUGCAUUCGAAACUGUCAGGCUUGAGUACGGGAGAGGGAAGUGGAAUUCCUGGUGUAGAGGUGAAAUUCGUAGAUAUCUGGAGGAACACCGGUGGCGAAGGCGGCUUCCUGGACCGAUACUGACGCUGAAACGAGAAAGCGUGGGGAGCAAACAGG
rnacentral:rRNA from 1 species